rnacentral:tRNA from 1 species
GCGCCGGUGGUGUAAGAGUGGCAUCGCUGCCCUGAAAGCAGAAGGUGCGGGUUCGAGUCUCGCCUGGCGCA